rnacentral:rRNA from 1 species
GUGCAGCAGCCGCGGUAAAACCAGCACCUCAAGUGGUCAGGAGGAUUAUUGGGCCUAAAGCAUCCGUAGCCGGCUAUGUUAGUUUUCGGUUAAAUCCAUGUGCUCAACAUAUGGGCUGUCGAGAAUACUGCAUAGCUAGGGAGUGGGAGAGGUAGACGGUACUCGAUAGGAAGGGGUAAAAUCCUUUGAUCUAUUGAUGACCACCAGUGGCGAAGGCGGUCUACCAGAACACGUCCGACGGUGAGGGAUGAAAGCUGGGGGAGCAAACCGGAUUAGAUACCCGGGUAGUCCCAGCUGUAAACUAUGCAAACUCAGUGAUGCAUUGGCUUGUGGCCAAUGCAGUGCCGCAGAGAAGUCGUUAAGUUUGCCGCCUGGGAAGUACGUACGCAAGUAUGAAACUUAAAGGAAUUGGCGGGGGAGCACCACAAGGGGUGAAGCCUGCGGUUCAAUUGGAGUCAACGCCAGAAAUCUUACCCGGAGAGACAGCAGAAUGAAGGUCAAGCUGAAGACUUUACCAGACAAGCUGAGAAGUGGUGCAUGGCCGUCGCCAGCUCGUGCCGUGAGAUGUCCUGUUAAGUCAGGUAACGAGCGAGAUCCCUGCCUCUAGUUGCCACCAUUACUCUCAGGAGUAGUGGGGCGAAUUAGCGGGACUGCCGCAGUUAAUGCGGAGGAAGGAGGGGGCCACGGCAGGUCAGUAUGCCCUGAAACUCUGGGGCCACACGCGGGCUGCAAUGGUAGUUACAAUGAGUUCCGAAUCCGAAAGGAGGAGGUAAUCUUCAAACGCUACCACAGUUAUGAUUGAGGGCUGCAACUCGCCCUCAUGAAUAUGGAAUCCCUAGUAAUUGCGUGUCAUUACCGCGCGGCGAAUACGUCCCUGCUCCUUGCACACACCGCCCGUC